UACGUAGGGGGCUAGCGUUGCUCGGAAUCACUGGGCGUAAAGCGCACGUAGGCGGCUUUUUAAGUCAGGGGUGAGAUCCUGGAGCUCAACUCCAGAACUGCCUUUGAUACUGAGAGGCUCGAGUCCGGGAGAGGUGAGUGGAACUGCGAGUGUAGAGGUGAAAUUCGUAGAUAUUCGCAAGAACACCAGUGGCGAAGGCGGCUCACUGGCCCGGUACUGACGCUGAGGUGCGAAAGCGUGGGGAGCAAACAGG
rnacentral:rRNA from 1 species